UUGGAGGGCAAGUCUGGUGCCAGCAGCCGCGGUAAUUCCAGCUCCAAUAGCGUAUAUUAAAGUUGUUGCAGUUAAAAAGCUCGUAGUUGAAUUUCGGAAUUUUUUUAUCGGUUGAAUCAACAGGUUCGUACUGAUUUUAAGAAUUUCUACCUUCUGGAGAACCUUAAUGUCAUUUAUUUGGUGUUUUGGGAAACCAGGACUGUUACCUUGAAAAAUUAGAGUGUUUAAAGCAGGCUUAUGUCUGAAUAUAUUAGCAUGGAAUAAUGAAAUAGGACGGCAUGGUUCUAUUUUGUUGGUUUCUAGGAUCACCGUAAUGAUUAAUAGGGAUAGUUGGGGGCAUUAGUAUUCAAUUGUCAGAGGUGAAAUUCUUGGAUUUAUUGAAGACUAACUUCUGCGAAAGCAUUUGCCAAGGAUGUUUUCAUUAAUCAAGAACGAAAGUUAGGGGAUCGAAGACGAUCAGAUACCGUCGUAGUCUUAACCAUAAACUAUGCCGACUAGGAAUCGGACGAAGUUAAUUUUUUAAUGACUCGUUCGGCGCCUUACGGGAAAC
rnacentral:rRNA from 1 species